UUUAUAUAGUGUGAUGUUAUAGUGCGGUGUGGAUAUGAGGGCGUGAGGUGGGCGUGUGUCAGCCAAAGGAAGGGCAGCACAUUCGAAGACAGCCGAGGUGAUCCCACACCAGCUGAACAAAUCCUCGGCCUUUUGUCUUAUGGCGGCGGGCGAGUGUGGUUCAUUGUGUGUGCGUGCGUGCGUGGCGUCGCGGUUAGUGUAGUGAUAGAUAGUGUGUGUUAGUUUAUCCUAUUGAAUGCGUCUUCCUCGCGUUGGAUUUGGUGAGUACCCGUAUCACAGGUCACACCGUGGGACUGACACCGCUGGAGCAACCCUUCGGAAUAAAGUAAAGUACAAAUUACUGUUUCCUAGGCGUUAGGCAUAGGGCGAUAGGCGGCGCGGCUAACAAUUCUCUUCCAGGUACAAACUAACCUUCUCUUCCAGGUACAUGUUAAUUAUCUAGUCUUCCCCAGUAAUGCCCUGGUUAGCGCACCGUGGUGGCGAUCCUGGAGCCUCGUGCUGGUGGUGGUGGUGGUGGCGUGGCUGUCUGGCUGGCUGGCUGUGGCGGGCGUGCACGUGCUAUCAUAUGGGUUGCGUGGUAGGUGCGUUCAGUGGUCUGGGCUGUGUUGGUGCGUGUUCUGAGGAGAUGACCGCAGACACACUGGCUGCUGAUGACUAGAGCCGCACAGAGGCAGUGUUCUGUACAAGCUGGAUGGAAGUAUGGAAAAGUAACAUGAACAAGGUUGUGAAUGUUCGGGUGUGGUGUGGAUGAGCAAGUGAGCGAGCUGGCAUUGGGAGCCGAGCGGGGGAGGCAGCCCGGCAUGUGUAGGCUACGUGAGGCUAGCCAAGAUGUAGGAAGAUUGUACUGUACUUAUGCUAUGAAAUGGUGGUGUUACUGUAAAGCAUACUUAAGAAGGAUAAAAAUAUGGCUGAUUUCCUUGUGUAUAAGUUUCCGGUGUGUGUGAGCGAGUGUAACUGUGUAUGGUGGGUGGAUGGUUGAGCGAGGGUGUGGGUGCAGGCUGCAGACUGGGGCACAUGAUGUGGAGCCUGUGGUGACCGGUGACUGGUGAGGCAGUGACUGGUUCACUCUGGUAUUUACACGACUGCCGAGGGAAUAAUACAUAAGGUUCAGUCUUAGGCGCUCACGAGGGAAUAGACUGUAGCACU